rnacentral:rRNA from 1 species
CUAACAAGGAUUCCCCUAGUAACGGCGAGUGAAGCGGGAACAGCUCAAAUUUGUAAUCUGGCGGCCUUCGGCCGUCCGAGUUGUAAUCUGGAGAAGCGUUUUCAGUGCCGGCCCGCGUACAAGUCCCCUGGAACGGGGCGUCGCAGAGGGUGAGAAUCCCGUCUCUGACGCGGUCAUGCCGGCGCGCUGCGAUGCGCUCUCGAAGAGUCGAGUUGUUUGGGAAUGCAGCUCAAAACGGGUGGUAAAUUCCAUCUAAAGCUAAAUACUGGCGAAAGACCGAUAGCGAACAAGUACCGUGAGGGAAAGAUGAAAAGCACUUUGGAAAGAGAGUCAAACAGUACGUGAAAUUGUUGAAAGGGAAACGCUUGAAGUCAGUCGCGUCUCCCGGGACUUCAGUCGCGCUCUCAAAGGCGCGGCGUACUUCCCGGGUCUGGACGGGCCAGCGUCGAUUUCGACCGUCGUAAAAAGGUACGAGGAACGUGGCACCUCCGGGUGUGUUAUAGCCUCGUGUUCCGCAUGCGACGGUGGGGAUCGAGGGACGCAGCGCGCCUUUUAACGGUCGGGGUUCGCCCACGUAACGCGCUUGGGAUGCUGGCUUAAUGGCUUUAA